CCUAGGGAGGCAGCAGUGGGGAAUAUUGGACAAUGGGCGAAAGCCUGAUCCAGCCAUGCCGCGUGUGUGAAGAAGGCCUUCGGGUUGUAAAGCACUUUCAGUGGGGAAGAAAGCCUUGGGGCUAAUACCCUCGAGGAAGGACAUCACCCACAGAAGAAGCACCGGCUAACUCCGUGCCAGCAGCCGCGGUAAUACGGAGGGUGCGAGCGUUAAUCGGAAUUACUGGGCGUAAAGCGCGCGUAGGCGGUCUGAUAAGCCGGUUGUGAAAGCCCCGGGCUCAACCUGGGAACGGCAUCCGGAACUGUCAGGCUAGAGUGCAGGAGAGGAAGGUAGAAUUCCCGGUGUAGCGGUGAAAUGCGUAGAGAUCGGGAGGAAUACCAGUGGCGAAGGCGGCCUUCUGGACUGACACUGACGCUGAGGUGCGAAAGCGUGGGUAGCAAACAGGAUUAGAUACCCUGGUAGUC
rnacentral:rRNA from 1 species